UACGUAGGGUGCGAGCGUUAAUCGGAAUUACUGGGCGUAAAGCGUGCGCAGGCGGUUUUGUAAGCCAGAUGUGAAAUCCCCGGGCUUAACCUGGGAAUGGCAUUUGGGACUGCAAGGCUCGAGUGCGGCAGAGGAGACUGGAAUUCCUGGUGUAGCAGUGAAAUGCGUAGAUAUCAGGAGGAACACCGAUGGCGAAGGCAGGUCUCUGGGCUGACACUGACGCUCAUGCACGAAAGCGUGGGAGCGAACAA
rnacentral:rRNA from 1 species